GUCUCUUUGUUGUUAGUUUAUAAAGAGUCGGGCCUGCCCGGUGGCGUGGAGCUUAACGGCCGCGGUAUCUUGACCGUGCAAAGGUAGCAUAAUCACUUGUCUUAUAAUUGAAGUCUAGUAUGAAUGGUUUGACGAAGGCAAAGCUGUCUUUAUUUUAUUUAUUAGAAGUUAACUUUGAAGUGAGAAGGCUUUAAUUUAUCAAAUAGACAAGAAGACCCUAUAGAGCUUUAAUUUAAAGGUUGUAUUCGGGCGGAGAUUGUUCUAGGCUGGAUAAUAAUUGAAAUAUUUUAGUUGGGGCGACUAAGGAAUAAAUGAAACUUCCUUUGUGAGAAAUGAUUGAUAUUGAUCCAGUAUUAUUGAUUAAAAGAAUAAGCUACCUUAGGGAUAACAGCGUUAUUCUUUUUGAGAGUUCGAAUUGAAAAAAGAGUUUGCGACCUCGAUGUUGGAUUGAAGUAUCUAAAGGGUGUAGCAGCUUUUUGGGUUGGUCUGUUCGACCAUUAAAAUUUUACA
rnacentral:rRNA from 1 species